rnacentral:rRNA from 1 species
AGAGUUUGAUUCUGGCUCAGAUUGAACGCUGGCGGCGUGCUUAACACAUGCAAGUCGAACGUGAAAGUCCUUCGGGGCGAGUAAAGUGGCGCACGGGUGAGUAACGCGUGGAUAAUCUACCCUUAAGAUGGGGAUAACGGCUGGAAACGGUCGCUAAUACCGAAUACGCUCCCGAUUUUAUCAUUGGGGGGAAAGAUGGCCUCUGCUUGCAAGCUAUCGCUUAAGGAUGAGUCCGCGUCCCAUUAGCUAGUUGGCGGGGUAACGGCCCACCAAGGCAACGAUGGGUAGCCGGUCUGAGAGGAUGACCGGCCACACUGGAACUGGAACACGGUCCAGACUCCUACGGGAGGCAGCAGUGGGGAAUAUUGCGCAAUGGGCGAAAGCCUGACGCAGCGACGCCGCGUGAGGGAUGAAGGUUCUCGGAUCGUAAACCUCUGUCAGGGGGGAAGAAACCCCCUCGUGUGAAUAAUGCGAGGGCUUGACGGUACCCCCAAAGGAAGCACCGGCUAACUCCGUGCCAGCAGCCGCGGUAAUACGGAGGGUGCAAGCGUUAAUCGGAAUAACUGGGCGUAAAGGGCAUGCAGGCGGUUAAUCAAGUAGGAUGUGAAAGCCCGGGGCUCAACCUCGGAAUUGCAUUCUAAACUGGUAAACUAGAGUAUUGCAGGGGGAGACGGAAUUCCAGGUGUAGCGGUGGAAUGCGUAGAGAUCUGGAAGAACACCAAAGGCGAAGGCAGUCUCCUGGGCAAAUACUGACGCUCAUAUGCGAAAGCGUGGGUAGCAAACAGGAUUAGAUACCCUGGUAGUCCACGCCGUAAACGAUGUUGAUUAGAAGCUUGGGCGUAAGUCUGGGUUUCGCAGCUAACGCAGUAAAUCAACCGCCUGGGGAGUACGGCCGCAAGGUUAAAACUCAAAUGAAUUGACGGGGGCCCGCACAAGCGGUGGAGCAUGUGGUUUAAUUCGACGCAACGCGAAGAACCUUACCUGAUCUUGACAUCGCGAGAAUUUCUUGUAAUGAGGAAGUGCCUUCGGGAACUCGCAGACAGGUGCUGCAUGGCUGUCGUCAGCUCGUGUCGUGAGAUGUUGGGUUAAGUCCC